rnacentral:rRNA from 1 species
ACGGGGGGAGCAAGCGUUGUUCGGAUUUACUGGGCGUAAAGGGCGCGUAGGCGGCCAGCGCAAGUCAGUUGUGAAAUCUCCGGGCUUAACUCGGAAAGGUCAACUGAUACUGCGCGGCUAGAGUGCAGAAGGGGCAACUGGAAUUCUCGGUGUAGCGGUGAAAUGCGUAGAUAUCAAGUGGAACACCAGUGGCGAAGGCGAAUCCCUGGAAAAUACCUGACACUGAGGCACGAAAGCUAGGGGAGCAAACAGGA